rnacentral:rRNA from 1 species
GGUUAAGUGACUAAGCGUAUACGGUGGAUGCCUUGGCAGUCAGAGGCGAUGAAGGACGUAGUAACUUGCGAAAAGCGUUGGCGAGCUAGUAACAAGCAUUUGAGCUAACGAUGUCCGAAUGGGGAAACCCGGCCACAUAAGUGGUCAUCAUAACGUGAAUACAUAGCGUUAUGAGGCGAACCUGGGGAACUGAAACAUCUAAGUACCCAGAGGAAAAGAAAUCAACCGAGAUUCCCCUAGUAGCGGCGAGCGAACGGGGAUUAGCCCUUAAGUCUAUGGGGUGUUAGUGGAAUGAGUUGGAAAGCUCAACGGUACAGGGUGAUAGUCCCGUACAUGAAAACUAACCAUAGAUGAAAACGAGUAAGGCGGGACACGUGACAUCCUGUUUGAAUAUGGGGGGACCAUCCUCCAAGGCUAAAUACUCCUGACUGACCGAUAGUGAACCAGUACCGUGAGGGAAAGGCGAAAAGAACCCCUGUGAGGGGAGUGAAAUAGAACCUGAAACCGUGUACGUACAAGCAGUGGGAGCGGUUCUUGAGACCGUGACUGCGUACCUUUUGUAUAAUGGGUCAGCGACUUACGUUUUGUAGCGAGGUUAAGCGAAUAGCGGAGCCGUAGGGAAACCGAGUGUUAACUGCGCGUUUAGUUGCAAGGCGUAGACCCGAAACCGAGUGAUCUAGCCAUGGGCAGGUUGAAGGUUGAGUAACAUCAACUGGAGGACCGAACCGACUAAUGUUGAAAAAUUAGCGGAUGACUUGUGGCUGGGGGUGAAAGGCCAAUCAAACUCGGAGAUAUCUGGUUCUCCUCGAAAGCUAUUUAGGUAGCGCCUCGAGCGAAUACCACUGGGGGUAGAGCACUGUUAAGGCUAGGGGGUCAUCCCGACUUACCAACCCUUUGCAAACUCCGAAUACCAGUGAGUACUACUCGGGAGACAGACGGCGGGUGCUAACGUCCGUCGUCAAAAGGGAAACAACCCAGACCAUCAGCUAAGGUCCCAAAGUUAUUGCUAAGUGGGAAACGAUGUGGGAAGGCUUAGACAGCUAGGAUGUUGGCUUAGAAGCAGCCAUCAUUUAAAGAAAGCGUAAUAGCUCACUAGUCGAGUCGGCCUGCGCGGAAGAUUUAACGGGGCUAAGCAAUACACCGAAGCUAUGGGUUUGCUCUUAUGAGCAAGCGGUAGAGGAGCGUUCUGUAAGCGGUUGAAGGUGAAGGGGUAACCCACACUGGACGUAUCAGAAGUGCGAAUGCUGACAUGAGUAACGAUAAAGGGAGUGAAAAACUCCCUCGCCGAAAGACCAAGGGUUCCUGUCCAACGUUAAUCGGGGCAGGGUGAGUCGACCCCUAAGGCGAGGCCGAAAGGCGUAGUCGAUGGGAAAC